GGAGGCAUUGUAGGUUCUCCUAUAAAUUGCUGUCUGAGCUGUUGGUUCUCCCGGAGAAGCUUUGGUCCUCACAUCGAGCAUUGCUUCCUGGCUCCGGAGGGAAAGACAUGUGCUGCUUGGUCUCCAGGAUGAACUCGUCACGCUGUUUCCUGGCACCCUCCGUGUUGCUGAGGAUGGCGGUGGUGCCUUUCAGGACAGCCCUGGUCUUUGUUGUCCCUGCAAAGUUGCGGACGGAACUCUCUGUCUGAGUACAUGGCACUAUCUGAAAUUGCAUUUUCCUGCGAGGGAAAGGACUUCAAGUGGCACCACGGGAUGAUGCUGUCACUGAGAUGCCUGGCUGCUCUCUGUAACAGAUGCUGGUAAACUAGUUUGGAGAAAACACCAAAGCCAAAGUUUUCUUGAUAAGUAGGAGAAGAGAUUCAUUUCUGCCCCCCGAUAUCGGAUCCUCAGAAUGCACUUACUUAAUUUUUGGCUGCAAGUUCAUUAUGGGGCUUUUGUGGACAGUGGCUGCACUGCUCAUCCCGCUGGUCCAGGAAGAUCCCGGGCCCUCAGUUACUGCUGAAGGAGACGCUGCACAGAGGAGAAAUCCCUGGAGCUGGGAACCACGCUGCCUGCCCGCUGGCCUCUGUCCCCUCUGUGGGAGCUGGGGCCUGGGCUCCCCUUACUGUGUGGUCUUUCCUGUGUCUGUCCAUCCACGCGAGGCAUCGGUCCCCCACAACUGUCUCCUUUUCUCAUCCCUUUCUUGGCUUCCGAAAAGGAAACAUUGGAAUCAGUGAGGAGAGAUAAAAGGCGAGAGAUAAUGGGGGAAAUAGGAAGAAUAAUUGUUGUAUAUAUUUGAUCUGAGUACACCUGUGAAAAAAAUAAAGAUCAGGAAAACCUUCGGCAUAGUCCAUUAUUGCAGUUCUUGUACGAUUCGAUUCUGAAUGUGUGUGUGUAAGGCAGGAAGCUCUGUAUAAGUGGGAGAAUUCCGUGCUCGACUCCCACUCCUGGAUCCGUCCUAGAGACUUACGGAAAACAGAAUGCAAUUAAUAGAACCAUUUUUAUUUCCACCAGAAGUGCAUGAGUGAUAUAUUUUCUGCAUUUUGUAUUAUCACUGGUUUUACUUGGACAUGUGACCAUUGACUUGGUCAUAGCUGGUGCAUGGUGAUAUUUCACUUUGGUUUUAUGAACUGAAAUGGGUAAUGAUGCUAAGCUUUUCCCAUGGGUUUAUUCCUAACCCGAAUAUCUUUUUCAGUGAAAUAUCUCUUAAUAUCUUUUGCUUAUGUUCUAAUAGGACUGCGUGUAUUUUACUUUUCAGUUUUUAAAGUUCUGUGUGUACUCUAGAUACAAGUCCUUUGUGUGUUAUUUUGUUUGCAAACACUUUCCCCUAGUCCAUAGCUUACCAUCUUACCACCUCGAGAGAGUCUGUUCUAGAAAAAAUAUUUAAAUUUUAAAGAGGUUUAAUUUAGGCUGGUAUGCUGGGACACACCUGUAAUCCCAGCACUCAAGAGGCUAAGCUUGAGGAUUGCUGUGAGUUUGAGGCCAGCCUUGGCUACAAAGUGGGUUCAAGUCCAGUCUGAACUGCGGAGUGAGACUCUGUCUCAAAAAGGCAAAAAAAAAAAAAAAAAAAAAAAAUCAAAACAAAAAACAAACAAACAAAAACCCAGAAAACAAAAGCGGUUCAAUUUAUUGACUUCUGAUUUUAUGACAAUGCUUCUGUCUUUAAAUAAAAUAAAUUAUUGUGUGAUCUUAAAUCCAAAAUUUUUCUUUGCUUUUCCUAAGUUUUAGAUUUAAGAUCAAAUUCAUGAUACUUCUUAAUUUUUUAGCACUGAGGUUCAUAUUUUGCCCAUACUUGUGCAUGUUGCUUGAUACAUUUUUUGAAAUACCUAUUUUCUCUCCAGUAAACUGCUUUUGUGCAUGUUUUCAGAAGUUUAACCAUGCCAUGUGGGUGUGUUUCUGAGCUUUGUAUUUUCUGGUUUAUCUCUGUGUUUUUGUGUCUGUCGGUACCACACGGUAUUUGACUGCUUUGCUCACUUUUUAAUGUUUUUAGUGCAUGCUUGCACUGCCUAAUGAGCACAUUCCUGGGGACUCGGCUUGCGCACCCACUAACCAUUAACCCUGUGUACUCGCCUGUCCCUUCUCCCUCUCUUUUCCUUGAAUCCCUUGAUUCCUUUUCCAUCUAUAAAAAUCCUACCUGUCUCUCCUACAGUCUACUUUUUAUUUUGCUCUUUAAAGUAUUUAUACUUUGGAUUUCUCAUAUAAAAUCAAGCGUAGGAAUUUAACAUUUUGUGUGAUUUAUUUCACAUGGAGUUAUGGUUUCACGGUACAUCCAGUUUCCUACAAAUGAUUCCCGUUUCUCCUUCUUUAUGGCUGAGUGCUAUUCCAUUUUGUAUAUCUGCCAUAUUUUUAGACCAUUCAUCUAUUGAUGGGUAUAGUCUGCUUUCAAAAUUUAGCUCUUAUACUCCGCUGUGAUGAAUACGGAUGCGCAUCUAUUACUGUAAUAUGGUGACUGUAAGUCUUUCAUGAAGAUUCCUGGAAAGGGAAGAGCUGGGCUGAGUGAGAUUUUUUAGUGUUAGUUUUUGGUGAUGCUUUGUAGUAAUUUCCAUAGAAGUUGUUCUAGUUUACUCUCCCACAAACCAGGUAUAUUAACUACUUCAGCUUCACACAAGGCUUUAAAUUGGAGACUGUUUUCUGUUUAUUCUUUUCAAAAUUGUUUUAGGUAUUUAGUGCCUGGGACUUUCUAUAUAAAUUUAGAGCAACUUUGUGGGUAUCUAGAAAAAUGCUGGUAAAAAUCUGAUUAGGAUUGCAUCAAGCCUAUGUAUCGAUUUGAGGGAAAUUUGACAUUUACGCUGCGUGGAAUCUUCUAAUCAGUUAACAUAAUAUGCCCUGUCAUGUUCUUAGACAUUUGGUAAUUUUUUGAAGCAAUGUCUUAUAGUUCUCAGCAUAAAAAUCUUUUGAGGUUUUGUUAGAUUUGCACCUAAACAUUGCAUGAUUUUUAAGAGAUGAGAAAUAGUAUUACCUUUUCACUUUAGUGUUGACAUAAUAUAU